rnacentral:piRNA from 1 species
GUCCACUACAUCAACAUCUACAAGACAGU